CUCAGGAUGAACGCUAGCGGCAGGCUUAACACAUGCAAGUCGAGGGGCAGCAUGACACGGAGAUUCGUCGAAGUGUUGAUUGGCGACCGGCGCAAGGGUGCGUAACGCGUGAGCAACUUGCCCGUUUCUGGGGAAUAACCGGUGGAAACGCCGACUAAUACCCCAUAGCAUAACGAAGAGGCAUCUUUUUGUUAUUAAAGAAUUUCGGAAACGGAUAGGCUCGCGUGACAUUAGCUAGAUGGCGGGGUAACGGCCCACCAUGGCGACGAUGUCUAGGGGUUCUGAGAGGAAGGUCCCCCACAUUGGAACUGAGACACGGUCCAGACUCCUACGGGAGGCAGCAGUGAGGAAUAUUGGUCAAUGGUCUGACGACUGAACCAGCCAUGCCGCGUGAAGGUCACGGCCCUAUGGGUCUUAAACUUCUUUUGUAAGGGAGCAAUAAGUCUCACGUGUGGGAUGAUGAGAGUACCUUACGAAUAAGCAUCGGCUAACUCCGUG
rnacentral:rRNA from 1 species